AAAAAAAUUCAAGGAAAAUCAUUUCCAGAGGAUUCCAGAAAACUCAUCCUCUCAUCUCUCUUUGGCCCGACUCCCUCUCCUCCUUCUCUGCACUUUCAUCUCUCCUCCUCUCAGUCCCUCCGCUGCACUACCCACCUCUACCACCGAGCCACUGCUCCCUCGCCUCUCCUCGCCGCCGUUCGCUGUUGGUGUUGUUGUGGUUCUUGUUGAUUGUUCCGUUACUUCCCAUCUCGUGCCUGCUUUGUGCCGUCGCCAAUGGUGGCCUUCAAUUGCCGUCGUCGGUGUUCCACCACUCAAUCGGUAAUCUCUCUAAUUUUGUUAUCAAUUGAUUUGAAUUUGAUUGAAUUAGGGAAAUCUCAAACCCUAACUUCCUAUUUCCUUGAUUGUCUCUCUCCGCCGCUCUCCCUUGCCUCGUCACUCCUCCUUGCUCGUCGGAGCUCCGCGGCUGCCAGAGCUGCGGUUGUUGUCAUUGAUGUUGAUGUAGUUGAAAAUUCCGUGAAAUUGACUCUUCUAUUCCAACUUACUCCUCCAUUUUGAUUUAAUGGUUAUUUGAUGGAAAACGAAUAAGGGGGAUCGAAUCAUGAAGUUAAGCGAAGAAUGAUGAUUGAAUAGGUAGCUUGUGGAUUUAUGAAUGGUUAUUGAAGAGUCAAAAUAUUUUGCAGGUAGCAAGAGUCGAGUCUCAAUACAGGUUCAAGGUUCGUAGAGUUCUCAAGGGGCUUUCUAUGUCCAAGGUUGGAUUAUAGAUUCGCCAAAUGUAAUUAAGUUUUAUAGAGUUUGUUAAUGGGCAGUAUAAUUUCUUCUUAAAGCUUUUGGUUUAUAAUUAUGAAUUAUAUAUUCGUGUUGGAGUUGUAGUUAAGUUAAGUUUGUUGGCUAAAGGUGAAGUGUGCCUAGAAAUAGCUCAUUAAGUCUGGGAUGUUAAUGUUACCCCUGGUGAUGUUUUGGGAAAUAUUAUAUGUUAGAAUGAUGUAAUUGAAGCAGGUAAAAGAAAGAGCUGACGUAAUUUCCUAAAUAAUAUUUUAGGUUGUCCAUAUUUGGGGGAAGUGCUGCCGAAUUUUUCUUUAAUAAUUAAAAGCUUAAAGUUAAGUUAA